rnacentral:rRNA from 1 species
AACGAACGCUGGCGGCAUGCCUAACACAUGCAAGUCGAACGAGACCUUCGGGUCUAGUGGCGCACGGGUGCGUAACGCGUGGGAACCUGCCCUUAGGUUCGGAAUAACUCCCCGAAAGGGGUGCUAAUACCGGAUAAUGUCUUCGGACCAAAGAUUUAUCGCCUUUGGAUGGGCCCGCGUUGGAUUAGCUAGUUGGUAGGGUAAAAGCCUACCAAGGCGACGAUCCAUAGCUGGUCUGAGAGGAUGAUCAGCCACGCUGGGACUGAGACACGGCCCAGACUCCUACGGGAGGCAGCAGUGGGGAAUAUUGGACAAUGGGCGAAAGCCUGAUCCAGCAAUGCCGCGUGAGUGAUGUAGGCCUUAGGGUUGUAAAGCUCUUUUACCCGGGAUGAUAAUGACAGUACCGGGAGAAUAAGCUCCGGCUAACUCCGUG